rnacentral:rRNA from 1 species
AUACGGAGGGGGCUAGCGUUGUUCGGAAUUACUGGGCGUAAAGCGUACGUAGGCGGACUGAUCAGUUGGGGGUGAAAUCCCAGGGCUUAACCCUGGAACUGCCUUCAAUACUGUCAGUCUUGAGAUUGGAAGAGGUGAGUGGAAUUCCUAGUGUAGAGGUGAAAUUCAUAGAUAUUAGGAGGAACACCAGUGGCGAAGGCGGCUCACUGGUCCAAUACUGACGCUGAGGUACGAAAGCGUGGGGAGCAAACGGGAUUAGAAACCCUAGUAGUCC